UCGAGGGAACUGAACGGCUGUCUUCUGUGCCAGCAUGGUGGCUGUGUUCUCUUUCGGGACUAUGCCUUUGGGGACCUUGCACAGGUUUAUUCUCUUAUGUGUUUCUUGAGAUCUUGAUAUUAGAAUUUUGUGACUUCGAAAAAUCCUAUUCUUCUUUUGCUCUUGGCUGUGUAUAUUUGUAUAGCAUUCAGAAUCACGUAUUGAAGGAGAAUGUUUGGAAAUAGUCAAAAGUAUAAGCCUGCUUAUUGCUAUGUUAUUUUCAGAUGGACUUGUUAUUAACAUGCUUAAAGCACAGGAGCUAGCUUACUUUUUAUUUAAAACCAUGCCCCUAUAAUUGAAUUCUCAUUCUAUGUCCCCAUUUCCUAUAAUCCUACCAAGGUGUCCGUUAUAUGCAGCUUGCCUCUUUUAUUUUGGUUUUCUUUCUUCCCCUUCAUGUAACCUAUGCCUUCCCUUGGGUAAUCAUACAUUCAUUAAAAAAAUCUUUGAUGCAUCUAUUUUCAGAUGAAUAUCUGAUUGACUUAUUCUCAAAAUGUGGAUUUACUCUUGAGGAAAUAUGUGUGCACAACAAGCAAUUUGAAAACCAUUCACUUGACUUGGUGAUGAACAGAUGAUCCAUGCUGUGUAUAUGAGGACCGCUGCUUUGGGCCUUCGUAACGCCUUUGGUAAACCAGCAAGCGAGGUGUUCCACCAGUCUUCUAGCUCCAGGUCUGUAUUUGGAUGUUGAAUCAGACCACCAUACCAUAAAGAAUUUCUGUAGGUGUAUAAAUUAGUGACAUUUAGGUGCACCUCCAAACCUUUUUAAUUCAAAUUUAUACUACUUCUCCAAAAUAAGGUUCUAUUUUCGAAAAAUAGUACAAAUAUUUGAAUCAAAGAAGGUUGGAGGUGCACCUAUUGCACCCGUAAAUUUCUAUACCGCACCUCAUGUGCAAAACUGCAGUGAAGAAUAUGAUGUUUUCCUGUC